UGGGGGCGUAGUUCAGGUGGUUAGAACGCCUGCCUGUCACGCAGGAGGUCGCGGGUUCGAGACCCGUCGCUCCCGAUGA
rnacentral:tRNA from 3 species